CAGAAUCCUCUCUUAAUGGCUUUUGUAGCUUCACAGGCCUCCUGCUUGCUUCUCUUCUAUCCACUGUUCCAGUUUGAUCUGGGUCUGCACAGUCUGGACCACUGCUUGUACACACACAUACACACAUGCUUAUACCCACAUACAAACACACACACACACACACAUAUACGUAUACACAUACACACAUGCAUACACACAUACAUACAUAGACAUAUACAUACGUACAUACACACAUGCAUACAUACACAGACAUGCACACAGUACAAGGCAUACAGACACAGACACACAUAUGCAUACACACAGAUACACAGACACACAGACACACAGAAACAUACACAUACAUACAUACAUAGACAUGCACAUAUACACACACAUACAUACAUACACACAGACACACACAAAGCAACAUCAGCAAAGCUUUAAAGUCCUUAGUUUUUUGCUUGCUGCUUUGUGUUUUGCGCAUGCUUGUUUUGAAGCCGGUGUUUAUUAUCAGGUUAUUGCUCAUAAAACCUUUAUCUUCAGCCUUUCCCCUGAAAUACCUGGUGCUACCGAAGCUGUCAUGAUCCGUCAUGAGGGCCGGGAUGACUCGGCAAUGAGAACGAGGCAACGUGGAGAUCACCACCUUUCUCUCCUCUCGCCUUCCUUCCUCUUUCCUUCUCGGCGCUCAGCGAUGGAGGGACUGGACAAUAGGAUCUUCCUUGCACAGACAUUUCCCAGACCCAGCUUGUGCAAAAGAGGGAGCUA
rnacentral:lncRNA from 1 species